rnacentral:rRNA from 1 species
GACGAAGGAUGCAAGCGUUAUCCGGAUUCAUUGGGUUUAAAGGGAGCGUAGGUGGUCUUAUAAGUCAGUGGUGAAAUCUCUGGGCUUAACCCAGAAAUUGCCAUUGAUACUGCAGGGCUUGAGUACAGAUGCCGUUGGCGGAAUAUGACAUGUAGUGGUGAAAUACAUAGAGAUGUCAUAGAACACCGAUUGCGAAGGCAGCUGACGAAACUGUAACUGACACUGAGGCUCGAAAGUGUGGGGAUCAAACAGG